rnacentral:rRNA from 1 species
UGGGGAAUAUUGCACAAUGGGGGAAACCCUGAUGCAGCGACGCCGCGUGAAGGAUGAAGUAUUUCGGUAUGUAAACUUCUAUCAGCAGGGAAGAAAAUGACGGUACCUGACUAAGAAGCCCCGGCUAACUACGUGCCAGCAGCCGCGGUAAUACGUAGGGGGCAAGCGUUAUCCGGAUUUACUGGGUGUAAAGGGAGCGUAGACGGUGAUGCAAGUCUGAUGUGAAAACCCGGGGCUCAACCCCGGGACUGCAUUGGAAACUGUGUGACUAGAGUGUCGGAGAGGUAAGUGGAAUUCCUAGUGUAGCGGUGAAAUGCGUAGAUAUUAGGAGGAACACCAGUGGCGAAGGCGGCUUACUGGACGAUGACUGACGUUGAGGCUCGAAAGCGUGGGGAGCAAACAGG